ACGGAAACAAGGGUGGUGUUUAAAAACACCCCGGCGACGUUAGGUAGAUGAUAAUGUUGAAAAUCAGUAUCUUUAUCAGCAUAAGUAAUAAGAAAAUGUAAUACAUCUAUUGGAUUUCAUAACAGCACUUUCAAACACACGGCGGAUGUAACAGAGAAAGAGGGAAACAUCUAGUGAUGACAAUUAUGCAAAUUGAAGACCCCAUUUGCAUUACUAAUAAGAAAAUGGAAAGUUCCAUAAUGGUGUAUUAUAGUAAUGCCGUCUCCGCUACGGCUCACGAAAAAUUGGAAGGCCUGACUAAAAUUCACUUACGGAAAAUAAUCACUUCCUCCGUAUGAUUUACAUCAAAUGAAAUAGAUUCCCUGCGAAUUAUGGGAAAUCAAAAUAGCCUGACCAGGCCUUACGGGAAGGAGCAUACAGACCCUAGGUAAUUGUCAGUUGUCUACGUUUUGACAACUAUGCCCCUACAGUUCCAGAAUCAGUUAGAGGGCUCAAACCUGCCCCAACAGAAGCUAUCUGCCACUUAAAUGACAAGACCAUAUCAUGCUCAGGACAAGAUUGUUAUCAACGCCGUUCAACGGUUGGCGUUCCCUAGAAAAAUUAGAAGUUUGUAAAGUUAUGAUUGUAACGCAAAGACACUCUCUGUUAUAUACUUUGUCUGACCCUUGCCUCUUCCCUCAUGACCUCAAUGAAAAGCGGCCUGCAGGCCGAUUUGAGCUUUCAUGAAUAAAUAAAGGUUCAAACAAACAAACAAACAAACAAACACGAUGCAUAUGGAUCCGAAUGUAUGAGAUAAAGUGAAACAUUUAGAAAAGAACUAGACUUGAGCAGGGUGUUGUGUUGUCAUUACAGUUAGAGAAGGAAUGGGGGGUAAGGGGGAACGUAGUUUAUAUAUAGGUAAAAUUGGGGCCCCCGAUAUGUCGACACAAAUCUAAAUCCGAACAGAGGACAAAGGGAUAAGGAAUUGAGUACUAUCCCGAGAUGCUUUGCGAGAGGAAGGGUCUAAAUACAGAGCACACCAUAUGCUCUCACUCGAGUUUAGCCAAGCGGGGAGUAGAAGGACGAGCCCGGAGCCCUAAACUACAGGAUAUAGGAGACGGGUAGUUAUUUAAGAAAAGCAAGAGUGAGAUAGAGAAGGCGUCCGCACAGUCAUAUACUUGGUCAACUUGCCACUGUACAGACCUUUGGAAUUGGCCCUGAUAUAUCGUAUUCACAUUAAUUCUGGAAAUGACCUCCUAUUUUGCAUAAUUUGUAUUUCAUUUUGUACAACAUUCAUUUCAUUUGUCUAAGCUACAUACAGACCAAAAAUCAUGAAAAUCCGUUAUUUCUUUCUUGAGUAAUCGUCUUCGGAAAGUUUUGACAAAAAUUACCUUGCAAUUUCAACACCAAUCGCUGGGGGCCCAAACGUAUGCCCUUCUUUCCUAGCACAACAGCUAUCUACCAACCAUCAAUCGUAACCACGGCUUAUUCAGAACACGAGAUAUAAAAAAAAACAUGGUUCGCUGCAGUUCCAAGUGAAGCCGUUAUGGGCCGAAGAUUCCCGUAAUUAUUUCCGUUUUUGUCACACGCCACCAACACAGCAAAAUCAUUCACCAUUCAGCAACAGUUCUUUAGUUAUCUUGAGUUGACACAAACAAUCACAGACAUACAUACACAGGUGAAAAUAUUACACCCAUGAAUAUCUCAAAGGGUAAUAAAGCUGCUUGUCACCAUGUAAACAACACGUAUCGUAGCAUGAACAUGAACAUACUAUUACCCAGUAUUUGUGUCUUAUUUAUUACCUGUAAUAUCUUUUCUGCAAGAAAUAGAAAGUUUCUGUAUUUCAGUUUAAUAAAAAAAACUGCUUUGAUGGUGAACCCUUGCAGGUCUUUUACGUGAUCUAUGAGAAUUCUUACGUUUGAGCCCCGCGAGCACGCACUGACAUGUACCUGUAAGUAGUGCGUGCUCGGAGUCAUGUUUGAACCCCGUUUGAGCGUGCGUGCUCCGAGUCAUGUGAUCUUCGUUUUGCUAACUAUAGACAAGUGUCCCGGGGCACACUGUCCCAGUUCUCCCGCCUGAUACAAACAAAAUGCCGCUAGUCGAAGAAGUGUUUUUCCCGAGGAUGAUGUUGGUGCACGUAGCCGGGCCAGUAGUUUCGCCUCAAGGUAUCUGGAAGACGAGGAACUACCCCAGGUUAGUGAAAAUCGGUACCGGAAAGUUGGUCUAAACAAUGCUUUUUUUGUAUAGAAUAAGGCGGAAGUCGGAAGCGAUUUGUAGUACCGGUUACUGUUAAAUACACCGCAAUUUUAUGACACAUUUUCGUCUGUACUUGUACCCCAAUAUGCCUCAUAAUUCAAGGACUAAUGCCGACUUCGUGUACAAGAGUUUUUGUUCUCGGCGAUGUGUUGUUGAUUAUCUCUCCUGGUGAUUUGCGCGAAAACAAAAAACAACAACAAACAAGUUACUUGUGAUCUAUUCCGACUCGGUCAUUCAACAGUAUUGUUGGGUGUGUAACAAAGCCCAUCACUUGCCCCAUUUCAACUUUUGGGAUGUCCAUAGACCAAGAAUGCAUGAUCAUGCAUGCAUGAUCUGUGUAUAUUAUUUUCUUUUUUCUUCGGGUUUGGCAGAAAUUUCUUGGGAGAAAAGAAGAAGGGAAUCUUAUUACCUAACAUCCAUACUUUUGACGUUUGAUCUGUUUCUGUGUUGUUUUAUGUUCAAAAUUUUAUUUGACGUAGAGAAAUACAGUUGAUACGUGGUACAUCAUUCGAACAAUAGGUUUAUCCAUAGGGGAUUACGGUAUGAUCGGGCCACACUCAGGGUGUAUACGAUUGUAGAGUAUAAAAAUUGAAUUUAAAGAUAGAUUUGUUUCUUGGUCUUCAAAUUGUGUUCACUGAAACUGUUAAUGUCAUCUGUGUACAGUCACAUUGAUUUGAUUCUAGAUUACGUAGUAUUCAAGUAGGACUGGCAAAACAACAUUUGGUUUGUGUAGAACUGGCCCGGAUCUAAUAGUGGAUCUUUGGGCCCCCCGGGGAUCAAAGUUGUUAAUUGGAUGCAGUCGCUCCCAGGGUCUAACCUACACGUGGGAUCCCCACUCACUCCCGCCAUCAGAUCUUAGGGAGCAGGCGCAUGCAUCCUCAGAUCAGAGGUACACAAGCGCUGUCCAAAGUAGUACAAACACGCGAAGGUUUUAGAUGUUCGUAUUUAUUUUUUGUGAUAUACAUAUGUAUUUGACCAGUGUCAGGAUUAUGAUCAUUGUUUUCUGUGAUUUAUUGGUUGGUAUACAGCUGCCCAGGUCAGCAGCGGAGGGAUGUAUAUGAAAAGACAACCGCCGAACUUUAAUAUCAGUUGGAGACGAAACGCGGCUCGAAGAGGUCAUGGCUUCUGUAGAAGUCAGAUCAAACCGCCGUGGUCUCCAGGGCUCCAUCGACUGCCUUGCUGAUGGGAGGACUUAACCGGUCAGUGAGAUACUGACCAUACAUACUGGACACGAGUGACAACGUCAAGGUGUUCCUGACACCCGUACCUGUGUCCACCAGGACGACGCAGUUCCGCCACAACGUGCACAGGGACUCCUACCACGACAGGGAAAGUCAGUGGAGUCCGUGCAAGUCAGUGAGACGAGCUGCAUCACUGAAGGAGCCGGAAUAGACGUCCGUGUGCCUUAUAAAGUCGGGAAGGAGCUACAAAUCACCCAGAACAGCACCGUCGACAGGAGGAAGAUAAUGAGAGGGGAGUGCCAGACCAGUAGCAGAUCUAGAAUAGCCAAUCGAUUGUGCUGCUACAACCAUAGUGAACCUAAAACUAGUUAGAGAAUUCACGGACUAGUUUUGAGGUGAUUUAUACCAUUACUGUGCAUUUUAGUGUACUGGGUAUACAUUGCAGUAGUAGUUGAUUGUGCAUGUGUAUCAAAGAACCGUACAUAAGGUUAACCUCAGCGACGACGGACCGAAUCAAACCGGAGAUGGAUGUAGUAAAGGAGAGAACCGCCAUAGGAAUGUUCAGUACAAUUAUUCUGUAUCCAACCUGUGACCGAAGUUAGCGGGGUCAGCAUUAUGUAGUAACAUCAAAACACUUAAACAGUCUCCCGUGCCAAGUGUACGGAAAACCUUG